ACCUGAUGGUGUGAGCAUUGACGUAACAAGUCCUUAAAGCGCUCCCAAGUCUCGAAAAAUGGUUCUCCAUCCAUCUGUGAGAAACUAGUGAUGACUUUCCUAAGCU